rnacentral:rRNA from 5 species
AGCACCGGCUAACUCCGUGCCAGCAGCCGCGGUAAUACGGAGGGUGCAAGCGUUAAUCAGAAUUACUGGGCGUAAAGAGCACGUAGGUGGAUUUUUAAGUUAGAUGUGAAAUCCCUGGGCUUAACCUAGGAACUGCAUUUAAAACUAAUUAUCUAGAGUAUCGUAGAGGGAGGUAGAAUUCCAGGUGUAGCGGUGAAAUGCGUAGAUAUCUGGAGGAAUACCUGUGGCGAAAGCGACCUCCUAGACGAAUACUGACGCUGAGGUGCGAAAGCAUGGGUAGCAAACAGGAUUAGAUACCCUGGUAGUCCAUGCCGUAAACGAUGUCGACUUGGAGGUUGUUUCCUUGAGAAAUGGCUUCCGAAGCUAACGCAUUAAGUCGACCGCCUGGGAAGUACGGUCGCAAGGCUAAAACUCAAAUGAAUUGACGGGGGCCCGCACAAGCGGUGGAGCA